AUGAACGCUGGCGGCGUGCCUAAUACAUGCAAGUCGAGCGAACAGACAAGGAGCUUGCUCCUCUGACGUUAGCGGCGGACGGGUGAGUAACACGUGGAUAACCUACCUAUAAGACUGGGAUAACUUCGGGAAACCGGAGCUAAUACCGGAUAAUAUAUUGAACCGCAUGGUUCAAUAGUGAAAGACGGUUUUGCUGUCACUUAUAGAUGGAUCCGCGCCGCAUUAGCUAGUUGGUAAGGUAACGGCUUACCAAGGCAACGAUGCGUAGCCGACCUGAGAGGGUGAUCGGCCACACUGGAACUGAGACACGGUCCAGACUCCUACGGGAGGCAGCAGUAGGGAAUCUUCCGCAAUGGGCGAAAGCUUGACGGAGCAACGCCGCGUGAGUGAUGAAGGUCUUCGGAUCGUAAAACUCUGUUAUUAGGGAAGAACAAAUGUGUAAGUAACUAUGCACGUCUUGACGGUACCUAAUCAGAAAGCCACGGCUAACUACGUG
rnacentral:rRNA from 1 species